rnacentral:tRNA from 1 species
GGAUUGUGGCUCAGUGGUAGAGUGCCUACCUGGCAUGUGCGAGACCCUGGGGUUCGAUCCUCAGCACCA